rnacentral:lncRNA from 1 species
GUUAGAGAUGAAGCAACACUAAAGAUGGACUGAAGUCGGGGUGAAGAAUGAUUGGACUUGGCGUUGGGUGCAGAAAACGGAUGACACAGGGAUGGCACUUGGACUCCUGGCUCUGAUAACCAGGUGGCCAAAGUAUUGGAGCAUCAGCUUCAGCAUCAGUCCUUCUAAUGAGAUCAUCCUGAGUAAACUACACAUAUCAUGGCUCCAUUCAGCAUAUCUAAGUCCUUCAAAAAUGGACUUCAUUCUGGAGUUGUGGUGGGCAACCUGCAUCCCGGGGGCCCUGAGAAGAGACUCUGUCCAUUUGCCAUGAGUCAGCAAGAACCAGUGACCCUGCACUCAUCUCUCUGUGGCAGGCUUGGAUGGCCCUGCUCAGUCAGGCCAUGCUCCUACAG